GACGAACGCUGGCGGCGUGCCUAACACAUGCAAGUCAACUUGACUGAAGGAGCAAUCUGACAGUAGAGUGGCGCAAGGGUGCGUAACGCGUAAGUAACUUGCCCAAGGUAAGGAAUAACGUCGAGAAAUCGGCGCUAAUACCUCAUAAUGCAGCGGAUCCGCAUGGAUAUGUUGUUAAAGGUUUACCGCCUUGGGAUAGGCUUGCGUCUGAUUAGCUAGUUGGUGUGGUAACGGCACACCAAGGCUACGAUCAGUAACUGGUCUGAGAGGAUGAUCAGUCACACUGGAACUGAGACACGGUCCAGACUCCUACGGGAGGCAGCAGUGAGGAAUAUUGGGCAAUGCUCGAAAGAGUGACCCAGCAACGCCGCGUGGAGGAUGAAGGUAUUCUAUAUCGUAAACUCCUAGUGAGAGCAGACGAAAGACAGAUUAUUAAUCUGGAUGACUGUAUGCUCAGAGGAAG
rnacentral:rRNA from 1 species